GCAGCUACCUCCGGAAUGCUCGUUCCACCUCAUUGGUAAUGAGGAGGUCGACAGUUCAAUCCUGUCCAGCAGCACCA
rnacentral:tRNA from 1 species